rnacentral:rRNA from 1 species
GACGAACCGAGCGAACGUUGUUCGGAAUCACUGGGCUUAAAGGGCGCGUAGGCGGCCACCGCAAGUCGACUGUGAAAUCUCCGGGCUUAACCCGGAAAGGUCAGCCGAUACUGCGGGGCUAGAGUGCAGAAGGGGCAACUGGAAUUCUCGGUGUAGCGGUGAAAUGCGUAGAUAUCGAGAGGAACACCUGCGGCGAAGGCGGGUUGCUGGGCUGACACUGACGCUGAUGCGCGAAAGCUAGGGGAGCGAACGGG